UAGAGACAGGGUCUCGGUCUGUUACCCAAGCUGAAGAGCAAUGGGAUGAUCAUGGCUCACUGCAGCCUCAGAUUCCUGGGCUCAAGUGAUCCUCCCAUCUCAGCCUCCCAAGUAGCUGGACCUACAGACAUCCACCAUCAUGCCUGGGCCCCAGGUACUGAAGAUAAGAAUAUAGAGAAGUUUUUCUUCUGACAGACUUGCUGGAAGCCAGGUGGCUAUCGCUGGUAACAAUCCAGGAAGCUAACGGAUAACUUCUGUAACAACUGGACCCACACGGCCAGGACUUGAUUAAUGACUGACAUCUACCCUAAUUUUUGUGCCUACAUCCAAUUUAAGACCAAACAGAGAAAACGAAACACGCACCCCUAACCGAUCAUGCAGAAUGCCCCUACUUCUGUUUAGCCCGCCUACAGCUUCCCCAUGGCAAUAGCCUCCAAUCAGGAUACACCUGAACCCUUCCCUCCCCACCCACUGCCCUGCUAUAAAGCUUUCUCAUUUCUCUGCCUUUGAAUCACUGCCAAAACACAGCGACAGUAGCUAACUCCCUUGUUGUAUAGCAGGCUGUGAAAAAAUAGCA
rnacentral:lncRNA from 10 species